CCUACGGGAGGCAGCAGUGAGGAAUAUUGGUCAAUGGCCGUAAGGCUGAACCAGCCAAGUCGCGUGAGGGAAGACGGCCCUAUGGGUUGUAAACCUCUUUUAUCGGGGGAUAAAGGUGUCCACGUGUGGCUGAUUGCAGGUACCGCAUGAAUAAGGUCGGGCUAAUUCCGUGCCAGCGGCCGCGGUAAUACGGGAGGUCCGGGCGUUAUCCGGAUUUAUUGGGUUUAAAGGGAGCGUAGGGCGGUAUGUAAGCUGGCGGUGAAAUUUUGGGGCUCAACCUUGGGAGGGCAGUGGAAACUGGAGACCUUGAGUGCGGGGAAGGCAGGCGGAAGUCGUGGUGUAGCGGUGAAAUGCUUAGAUAUCACGAAGAACCCCGAUUGCGAAGGCAGCCUGCCGGAGCGUUACUGACGCUGAGGCUCGAAAGCGUGGGUAUCGAACAGGAUUAGAUACCCUAGUAGUC
rnacentral:rRNA from 1 species